rnacentral:tRNA from 1 species
GCCCCCUUCGUCUAGCGGCCAAGGACGCCGGCCUCUCACGUCGGUAACGGAGAUUCGAAUCCUCCAGGGGGCA